rnacentral:rRNA from 1 species
UACAGAGGUCUCAAGCGUUGUUCGGAUUCAUUGGGCGUAAAGGGGGCGUAGGUGGCGCGGUAAGUCGGGUGUGAAAUUUCGGAGCUUAACUCCGAAACUGCAUUCGAUACUGCCGUGCUUGAGGACUGGAGAGGAGACUGGAAUUUACGGUGUAGCAGUGAAAUGCGUAGAUAUCGUAAGGAAGACCAGUGGCGAAGGCGGGUCUCUGGACAGUUCCUGACGCUGAGGCACGAAGGCCAGGGGAGCAAACGGG